rnacentral:rRNA from 1 species
UACGGGCAGACUUGAGUGUUUCAGGGGAGACUGGAAUUCCUGGUGUAGCGGUGAAAUGCGCAGAUAUCAGGAGGAACACCGGUGGCGAAGGCGGGUCUCUGGGAAACAACUGACGCUGAGGAACGAAAGCGUGGGUAGCAAACAGGAUUAGAUACCCUGGUAGUCCACGCCGUAAACGGUGGGCGCUAGGUGUGGGUUCCUUCCACGGGAUCUGUGCCGUAGCUAACGCAUUAAGCGCCCCGCCUGGGGAGUACGGCCGCAAGGCUAAAACUCAAAGGAAUUGACGGGGGCCCGCACAAGCGGCGGAGCAUGUGGAUUAAUUCGAUGCAACGCGAAGAACCUUACCUGGGUUUGACAUACACCGGAAAACCGUAGAGAUACGGUCCCCCUUGUGGUCGGUGUACAGGUGGUGCAUGGCUGUCGUCANCUCGUGUCGUGAGAUGUUGGGUUAAGUCCCGCAACGAGCGCAACCCUUGUCUUAUGUUGCCAGCACGUAAUGGUGGGGACUCGUAAAGAGACUGCCGGGGUCNACUCGGAGGAAGGUGGGGACGACGUCAAGUCAUCAUGCCCCUUAUGUCCAGGGCUUCACACAUGCUACAAUGGCCAG